rnacentral:SRP_RNA from 1 species
ACUCCUACAAGUAAUUCUUGCUACUAGAGAGCUGAGGCUAGUGGAUUGCUUGAGCUCAGGAGUUCUGGGCUGUGAUGGGGUUAAAGCUUAUAAUGUAUGCACUAAAUCUGGCACCGGUAUGGUGAGCCUCUAUGCUUUAGGAGUCACAAGGCUGCCUAAGGAGGGAUGAAUAAGCUUAGGUAAAAAACAAAGCCAGUCAAAACUUCCUUGCUGAUCAGUUGGGAUCAAGACUGUGAGCGGCCACUGCACUUUCAGCUUGAGCUGGAUAGGAAGACUCUGUCUUC